rnacentral:rRNA from 1 species
UACGUAGGGGGCAAGCGUUGUCCGGAUUUAUUGGGCGUAAAGAGCGUGUAGGCGGCCAGGUAGGUCAGCUGUGAAAACUCGAGGCUCAACCUCGAGACGUCGGUUGAAACCAUCUGGCUAGAGUCCGGAAGAGGAGAGUGGAAUUCCUGGUGUAGCGGUGAAAUGCGCAGAUAUCAGGAAGAACACCCGUGGCGAAGGCGGCUCUCUGGGACGGUACUGGACGCUGAGACGCGAAAGCGUGGGGAGCGAACAGGGAUU